rnacentral:rRNA from 1 species
GAUGAACGCUGGCGGCGUGCCUAAUACAUGCAAGUCGAGCGAACGGACGAGAAGAUUGCUUUUCUGAUGUUAGCGGCGGACGGGUGAGUAACACGUGGAUAACCUACCUAUAAGACUGGGAUAACUUCGGGAAACCGGAGCUAAUACCGGAUAAUAUUUUGAACCGCAUGGUUCAAAAGUGAAAGACGGUCUUGCUGUCACUUAUAGAUGGAUCCGCGCUGCAUUAGCUAGUUGGUAAGGUAACGGCUUACCAAGGCAACGAUGCAUAGCCGACCUGAGAGGGUGAUCGGCCACACUGGAACUGAGACACGGUCCAGACUCCUACGGGAGGCAGCAGUAGGGAAUCUUCCGCAAUGGGCGAAAGCCUGACGGAGCAACGCCGCGUGAGUGAUGAAGGUCUUCGGAUCGUAAAACUCUGUUAUUAGGGAAGAACAUAUGUGUAAGUAACUGUGCACAUCUUGACGGUACCUAAUCAGAAAGCCACGGCUAACUACGUG